AAGGCAUCACACAUGGCAAGCUUGUAUAAACCAAGCCUGAAAAUGGUGCACACCUCUUCUGCUCAUGUGCCAAUAAACAAUCAGGCUGUGGUCACAUCUAUGGGACUAAGUAUUGCCAUCUAGGCUUAUGUACAGGAUGAAGAAGAACUAGGCUUAGUGAGAUUUGAGGGCAGAAGCUCAUGAAUGUAAUUCUAGCACUCAGGAGGCCAAGGAAGGAAGACACAUAUUUAAGGUGAGCCCGGGCUGCCUGUGAGACACUCUAUCAUUUACAAGAAUUCUUGUAAUUAAUGAAUUCUUACCAAAAAUAUCUAUGAUGUAACUCAGGAAACAAUGAAAGAGAUAAGUAGCAUAUCUAGCAAAUGAUGACCUGCUUGUCUACCUUUCAAUAAACUUGAACUCUGACUCUCCUUAAUGAUCUUCUUUAGUGCCAGAUACUGGUUUGCCCAUAGUGUUCAAAGAUGGCUGAAUGUGCUUGAGAUCUGCUCAACUUGCACACAUGUAUAGUGACUAGCUGGAGAGGUAAAACUUCAUUAUCCUCUCAUGCAUGUACCUGUGUAGUAUAAAAAAGAUUGGCCGGGCGUUGGUGGCACACACCUUUAAUCCCAGCACUCAGGAGGCAGAGGCAGGCAGACCUCUGUGAGUUCGAGGCCAGCCUGAUCUCCAGAGCGAGUGCCAGGAUAGGCUCCAAAACUACACAGAGAAACCCUGUCUUGAAACCCCCCCCAAAGCCCCCAAAAGAUUGUAUAGUGAGAGGCACAGGGGUGCAUAUGUACCCCAUAAAUAAUAGCCAUAUAUGCAAAUGCAUUCUUUUACUUGAUGAUAAAAUAUUCAUGCUACUGAGAUUAGGUGGGUAUAUAUUUUAAUGUUCUGACAGAGACAAGACAAAGUAAUGUUUUCACAACUUUCUCAAUUCACUUAUAAAAGUAAUUUUAUCCUCUUUUGCUUAGUAAAAUACCCUCUUUGGGGGAUAGGUAGCUACCAUUAUAUCUCUCAAAAGGGCACAUUAAGGUCCAAACAACCUGAGAUAGCAGCUAGAAAUAUUGCCCUUGUAGAUACAAUCAGGAUAAAGUGAGAACAUACCGAGUUGAGGUGGGCCCUAGUCAGUGGCUCGUGCCCUUGAAAACACAAUUGUGGGUUCAGAAAGGCAUAGGCAGGCAUAGGAGCAGACACCAGAGGAAAGCAGAAACAGCUUGAAGGAUGCGACAGUUCAAGCAGCUCUAAUGUUUGCUGGCCAUCCCCAGAAGCCAGGAAAGAAAUGAGAAAUAGAUUCUUCCUCAGAAACUCCCCAAAGGGACCAGCCUGCCAACACCUUAACUUUCCACUUGCAGCCUUCAGGACUGGAGAGACUCAAUGCCUGCUGUUUAAGCCACCCACUUUAUGGUAAUUUGUUGAGGCAGCUCGAGAAACUCACCCAUAGAUCAUCCCUUGACUUAUGGUACACAUGUUUUCCUCCUAUAAACUUGCAAUGUACACAUUUUCAUGCAUAUAAAGAGAGGUAUGGACAUCAUUAGAACCGUGACGCUGCAUGUUGCCAAAACCUGGGGAUAGCAGCUGCUUUUAUAAAAUCACCUUCCCUACCUCUUAUAAACAAUCGAAUUUGAGAAUACUUUCUAUAACACAGUCAUUGUACAAACAAAGGAGCUUCUGUGUGGUUCAAAUUAGUUAUAUAUGUUUGUCCUGUGAGAAGGUCAUCAGACUGCUCUAUAUACAUGGAAGAAACAGACCAUGUACGAAGCAGAUCUGCUUUUCUAUUCAUGGGUUGUGUCAGUAAGUGGGAGUUUUGCUUCUCUUUAUUUUCCUUCUAAAAUUCUUUAUUUAUUUAGUAUUUAUUUAUAUAGUGCCCCUGUGGCUGUGGAUGUGUUUGUGAGUGUAUAUGUGUAUGUGGGUGCAUGCACAUGUAUGUAUGUAUGUAUGUAUGUAUGUAUGUAUGUAUGUAUUUAGGUAUGUAUGUAUGUAUGUAUGGCUCAGUGUGGAUGUGGGAGUCAGAGGACGUUGGUUCUUUUCUCCCACCAUGUGAGUUCUGUGGACUGAACUUGGGACAUCAGCCUUGGCAGCAAGCUCCCUUUCCUUCUGAGUCAUCUCACAGGCCAGAGUUCUUGCUUUUCUUACACUGCACAUUCACAAUGACAAGCUAGCAAUGCCUGUAGAUGAUUCAGAAAGCUAAUUCACGAAUGAGCUGGAUGGAACUUGUACUAAUUUCCUGUUGAUGCAAUAAAACACCACUACUUUGGUGAUUUAUGGAAGCGAGAGGUUAUCAGAGAGUAUGGUUUCAGAGGGAUUGGGGUUCACCAUGGUAAGAAAGUGUGGCAGCAAGCAGCAGCACGGCAGCAGCAGGAACAGGCUGCUGGGAAUUCAUGUUCCAUCCUUCAAGCACAAAACAGACAGAAGAAACUGGAAAUGGAGAGAGGCAUUUUAUCUCAAAGUUACCUCUCAGUGACUUGCUUCCUCCAGCAAGACUGCCUCAUCCAAACCUCCUCAAACAGCACCACAAACUGGGAUCCAAGUGUUCACAUGCCCGAGACUAUGGUAGACAAUUUCCAUUCAAAUCACCACAACCUCUCCAGACCAGCAACGGGGCUGAAAUGGUGCAUCCCUCACUUUCCAACCAUGAGGUCCUCUCCAUUGCAGCAAGUCAGACACCCAGUGCUCAAGAGUGGGAGGGAGACUUACCGGGGCUUUCUAAGAACCUGCUUAUUUUCUUCCUUCUAAGAACAUACUUGGUGCUGCCAGAACAGUGUUCAUAUUCAAACAUCUCCUUCUUUGGAGAUGCUGGGAUGGGCAACUUAAGGCUUCAGUAGCAUUUGAAAUUCUGUAUCUAGUUAAGAACACAUUUAUGAACUUAAACACCUGUACAUGUCUGUCAGUGUCAGUUUCAUGGAAGAACGGGUUCACAUCAAAUGCCAAAUCCCCUGAUUUACCUGACGUGAGAAUGGAUUAACUGAGGUUAGCUCACUUCUCAAGAACAGUGUUUUAGGAUAGCAAGAUUCCUUAUGCUGAGCAAGAAAGUAGUAAGACAGCAUUAACUGCAAAUGCUCCCCUCAUCCAUCCUUUUAAGCCUCAGGCAAUGCAUGGAAACAUUCCCAGUGCGGUCCUCUGAAUGAACACUUGCUACAGACAUGUGUUACAUUUUAAUGGGGGUGUGUGGCUACAGGAGAAACUGCACUCAAACUAUAUAGUCAACAGGAGUGUGGUGAAGUUUCUUGCAGAGAUGGAAAGAAUUACAUUGUUGACCACAUAAAUGUAAUUUGGGAUAUUUGACAGGCUCCUGUGAUCUGUUUCCAUGUGGUUUAUAAGGCUGGGGACUUUGCUUCUAAGAGUGGUCCCUUCUAACUCUUUAUCCUGAUGGUUGGCUUGUUGGUUUAAGUAAGUACCUUUGACAAGGAAAUUCUUGGAAUUGAAUUAUGUAUAAUGCAAUGUUCAUACACAUUAUAUGUGGUAGAAGAAGAGACAGUGUCAGUAAAUGGUAAAACAACACAUGAAAGGAGUGUGAAGUUUAUAUGUGGAAAGCCUAAUGGAACUAAAAAUGAAAAAAUCAAGUGAUGAAUCUUACUUUUUAAAAGUUGCCAUCUUUCAGUGCGUGCAUUUCUAUGGUGCUGACGACUCUUCUUUUAUAUGGCCUUAAGACAUCAUGGAAAAAAUAUGGAUACAAAAUAAAAUAUACAUUCAAUAUUGAAACAUGGUUAUAAUGGUAGUACAAGUUUUUUUUUCUUUCUUUAAUUUGGAGUACCGAGUUUUUUUCCAUUUGAACCUGGUAAUAUAAGAGGAAAAUUCUUCAGGGUAUAGAAAUUACAUUCAUUCUAACCCAAAAUUUCUAAGAUCUUCAUUUUUGGUCUUUUAACUAGUUUCUGUCAUUUUUUUCUAAUAAAACAUUAUGAAUUGUUAUAUUCAUGGCUUUGGGAGGAAUAUGAAAGACUUUGGGACUUUCAACUAGAAAAAAAGCAGUUAAAUACUAUAAACAGUGAUUAAUGGGCCAUCCUGGUAGGAGUGUGUAAGACAGGGAUGAGAACAGUAUGGCCUUGGGAGACUCAAAAGGUUUCAGAGGAGAACAAUAUGAGCAAUGUGGCUAGAGAUUGUUCUUGGGAUAUUUUGAUAAGAGAUGUGGCUGUCUUCUGCCUAGCUCCUAAUAAUUGCCUGAGGUUAAAAGUGUAAAAGUAAUGGACAUUUUCUUUGGCAGAGGAGAUUUCUCAAGAUAGUAUAAUAUUGACUCUAUCACAUAGUUACUAGUAAUCACUCUGAUUUAGGUCUACAAUGAAAAAAAUAAGCAAGUGGGGAAAAAGAUACAAAAUACACAGUUUGAAGAGAAAAGGAACAUGAAGAAACUUAAUGCUGCAGCCAGGGAUGGUGCUGAAAGAGAGAGCCAUUGAUGUCUGGCAAUAUGUGGCAAGGGAGUCCCUGCAUGAAGGCUCUGAGAGGAGGAUGGGGAUCUAUGGAUUCAUUCUAGGCUAUGGUUUGAUCAAACAAGACCCCCAGAAAGCAGUGUCCCGAUGAUCCAACAUCCGAAACAACUGAGACAAUGAAGCAUCACAGAAUACUUCAACCAAGAUUUGGCCAUGGUUCUGGGUUUUCGCAGGAUCCCUAUGGGAUUGACAGCAACCCCAGAUAGCAGGAAACAGUUUGGAGAUAACUAUGCCCAAAUUCCUAAAUAUUGUUUAUAAUUGUUUGUUUUAUUUAAACAGGGUUGAUUAUAAAUGUUUGAUUAUAAUGGUUAAUCUCUUUCUAAAGGAUAAAAAGGAUUAUAAUAUAGAAAUAAAUACUUUGCAUUGGUAUGGAUUCUGGUUUAGUGAUAAAAAUUUAAGGUCAAUCUUGCUAUAUGUAUAUUUCUACUCUUGUUUAGGUGGUGUGUUUAUAUAGCUCAUUUUAAAAUGUAUAAUUAAAAUCUAUUACAGAUUAAUAGAUAGUCACCUAUAAUAAUCAAAACUUAUACUCAUGUUAGGUUUUCUAGAUAUACAGAGAUAUAUUUCAGAUAAAUAGGCAUUCUUGAAAAACUUUCAAAGACCUACAGAAUAUGACAUUUAAAAUGCUUUGUUAACUUAGGGUUUCUCAUGACAAUGAGACACAUAUGCACCUGGCAUAACGAAUUAUGUCAGAGAGGAAGAUGGGCAUUGAAGAAACUCUUAAGGAGUUUGCCUUCAAUAUGGUAGGGUUAGCCACUUGGACAAGAAACUGCUCUUGCCUGGACUGUUUGAGAGCAUGCUGUUCAAACUGGAUAUGCAGUUCACAGAGAAAAGUGACUGCUGAACUUUCCAAGAGACAGGAUGGUCCUUCAGGGUUCAUGCUUCACAGAAAAGUGCCUGCCAGACACUCUAGGCCUAUAGGCUGAAAGAUGGAUGCCCUAGUGUUACAGAGAAACUUUAGGUGACUGCCCAGGCAACAGAUAUCUCUGUUAAUUCUAGAAUGCAUUUUAUAUCCUUCUGGGAUAAUUUAUGGAGUUGAAGACAGAUAGUUAUAGUUAUUUUUAUUAGUUAUAAUAAAAGAUAAAUUACAGAUAAAACUUUAGACUCACAAAAAUAGUAUAGAUGAUAGAAUAUUUUCUUUAAAUUUUGCAAAUGUAAAUGGACUAAAUAUUGUAACCACAAUUAUUGCUUGAUAGUAGUUUUGUUAUAUAUAAAUUUACUAUGUUAAAGUUAAAACCUUCCUUUUUAUUUAGACAGAAGAGGGGAAAUGGUGGUGGAUGUCCUCUGUAUGCUUUGACUAUGUGUUUCUCUUAUUGGUUGAUGAAUAAAGCUGAUUCAGAAUUUAGCUAGGCGUGAAUUCCAAAGAGACAGGGAAAAGAAAGAUAAAGAGCAAACAGCAUAUAGUGACCAGGGAGUCGAGAUAACAGCACAUCACUGGUAAACCAAGGCCAUGUGGUGAUACACAGUUUAAUAGAAAUGGAUUAAUAGGGCUGGAGAGAUGGCUCAGCGGUUAAGAGCACUGACUGUUCUUCCAGAGGUCCUGAGUUCAAUUCCCAGCAACCACAUGGUGGCUCACAACCACCUUGUAUGAGAUCUAGUGCCCUCUGCUGGCAUUCAGGCAGAAGACUGUAUACGUAAUAGAUAAAUAAAAUCUUUUUAAAAAAGAAAUGGGUUAAUAAUUAAGAGAGAGCUAGCCAGUAAGAAGCCUGAGCCAUUGGCUAAACAAUUGUAAAUGAUAUUAAGUCUCAGAGUGGGUAUUUCAUUAAGAGGCUGUGGGACACAGUGGGCAUAGAGAAAACUGGAUCAAUUGGACCCACAAUAGAUAGCGAAAAGUCUCCCUCCCUCUACACUAGAGCUAUGAGAAAUCUGCCAGAAGAGAUGCACAUAGGGUGUGGGCCCAGCCUAAAAGAAAUAUGUGUGUCGCAGGCACAAAAGCUGGAGAGGUGUGGCCAGCUAAGCCUUUUGACAUGACACUUGAAGCUACAGGAUUUAGAGUUUGCCUUGCUGAGUUUUGGUCUUGCUUUGAUCCAUUAUUUCCUCAUUAUGCUCCCCUUCAUCCCUUUCAGAAUGGCAAUGCAUACUCUGUGCCUUUGUAUAUUGGAAGCAUGUAAUUUGCUUUUUUUUCUAUGACAAAAACAUAAUUAUUUUAUUUCUGUACUUUAAAAGUCUAGUCUAGUUUUUCCACUUAAAUAUUAUAAUAUAUAGGGAAUGUUCAACUAGAAUUAUAUUGAAUAAAAAUAUUCUUACACUCUAUAAGUUGUUUUUUCUGUCAGGAAUGACAUCAAUAUUAUAAAACAUAUAUUUGCAAUAAUGUCUUAAAUAAAUAUAUUCUAUUAAUAAUAAAUGGAGCCAAAACCAUUUACACAACUGCUACAGAAGUAUGGUUUUGAAGUUUCUGCUUCAAAGCUGAUGUUAGUUGUCAUGUUUAUGUUUCAUUUGGCUUACCUUAGAAUAAUUGCUCCAGUUUUCUUUUUUAUUUUCUUUUAGUUGCAUAUAUUUUGUAAUUUUUUUAUUUAGUUCAAAUUAGGAACAAGCUUGCUUCACAUGUCAAUCCCUUUUCCCUCUCCCUCCCCUCCCCCAACCUUUCCCCCCCAACCUCUCACCUAGCCCCUACUCCAUCCACUCUCCAUUCCCCAGGCUGGGUAGGGCCCUCAACAGGGGCUCCCCAAAGUCCACCACAUCAUCCUGGGACGGGCGUAGGCCCUCUCCCAUAUCUCCAGACCAAUACGUGGGAUGGGCUCUCAAAGUCGCUUCUUAUACCAGGGAAAAAUACUAAUCCACUACCAGGGGCCCCCUAGAGUGCAGAGGCCUCCUCAUUGACAUCCAUGUUCAGGGGUCUGGAUCAGUCCCAUGCUAGUCUCCCAGACAGCAGUCUGGGGUCCAUGUGCUCCCCCUUGUUCAGGCCACCUGUUUCUGUGGGUUUCAGCAGCCUGAUACCAACCCUUUUGAACUUCAUUCCUCCCUCUCUGCAACUAGGUUCCAGAGUUCAGUUCAGUGUAUAUCUGUGGAUGUCUGCCUCUGAUUCCAUCAGCCACUGGAUGAGGGCUCUUGGAUGGCAUAUAAAGUAGUCAUCAGUCUCAUCAUAGUGGAAGGGCAUUUAGGCUAUCCUUUCCACCAUUGCCUAGAUUGUCAGUUUGUGUCAUCCUUGUAGGUCUCUGGAAACCUCCCUAGUGCCCCAUCUCUCCUAGGACCUAUAAUAGCUCGCUCUGAUAUGGUAUCUCUCAUCCUGCUCUCCUCUAUUCUUCCCCCAACUCAACAUUUCUGCUACUGCAUUUCCUCCUCUCCCCCCUCUUCUUCUCCUCUCAUUCUGAGAGCUCCCUCUCCCCUACCCUCAUGCUCCCAAUUAGCUCAGGAGAUCCUGCCCUUCCCAUUCUCUGGGGUCCAUGCAUUUUUCCCUUAGAGUCCUUCUUGUUUCCUAGUUUCUUCAGUGAUGAGGAUUGUAGGCUGGUAAUCCUGUGCUCUAUGCCUAAAAUUCAUAUAUGAGUGAGUAUAUACCAUGUUUGUCUUUUUGUGACUGAGUUAUCUCACUCAGCAUAGUUUCUUCUAGUUCCAUCCAUUUGCCUGCGAAUUUCAAGAUUCCAUUGCUUUUUUUCUGCGGAGUAGUACUCCAUUAUAUAAAUGUACCACAUUUUCUCAAUCCAUUCUUCAGUUGAGGGGCAUCUAGGUUGCUUCCAGUUUCUGGCUAUUACAAACAAUGCUGCUAUGAACAUGGUUGAACAUAUGUCCUUCUUGUAUGAAGUGCAUUAAUUGAUUAUAUGCCCAAGAGAGGAAUGGCUGGAUCUUGAGGUAGACUGAUUCCCGUUUUUCUGAGCAACUGCCAUACUGAUUUCCAAAGUUGUCUUACAAGUUUGCACUCCCACCAGCAAUGUAGGAGUGUUUCUUUUUCUCCACAUCCUCUCCAGCAUAGAUUGUCAUUGGUGUUUUUGAUUUUAGACAUUCUGGCCGGUGUAAGAUGGUAUCUCACUGUUGUUUUGAGUUGCAUUUCUCUGAUGGCCAAGGAUUUUGAGCACUUUCUUAAGUGUCUUUCAGCCACUUCAGAUUCCUCUGUUGAGAAUUCUCUAUUUAGUUUUGCACCCCACCUUUUAAUUUCAUUGAUUGGUGUUUUGGUGGCUAGCUUCUUGAGUUCAUUGUAUAUUUUGGAAAUGAGUCCUCUGUCAGAUGUGGGGUUGGUGAAGAUCUUUUCCCAUUCUGUAGGAUGUUGAUUUGUCUUUCUGACUGUGUCCUUUGCCUUACAGAAGCUUCUCAGUUUCAGGAUGUCCCAUUUAUUAAUUGCAGAUCUCAAUGUCUGUGCUACUGGUGUAAUGUUCAGGAAGCAGUCUCCUGUGCCAAUUCGUUCAAGGGUAAUUCCCACUUUCUCUUCUAGAAGAUUCAGUGUGGCUGGAUUUAUGGUGAGAUCUUUGAUCCAUUUGCACUUAAGUUUUGUGCAUGGUGACAGAUAUGGAUCUAUCUGCAAUCUUCUGCAUGUCCAAUCCAGUUGUGCCAGCACCAUUUGUUGAAGAUGCUAUCUUUUUUCCAUUGUAUAGAUUUAGCAUCUUUGUCAAAAAUAAGGUGUUCAUAGGUGUGUGGGUUAAUAAUCAGCGUUUUCAAUUCGAUUCCACUGGUCUAAGAAGUUACAAUUAAAAGAGAUUUUCUUGAGUCUCAACUUUGGAUUUUGGACUUUUAAACAGUGUGUGACUGUGAAAGACUAUGGAGACUUUUAAAAUUGGUCUAAAUGCAUUUUUCAUUAUGAUGGGGCUGCAAGCAUUUGGGGAACAAGGAGUGAAAUAUGGUGGUUUGAAAGAGAAAUGUCCUCCUUAAUCUCAAGAAUUUGAAUACUUGGUCCCAGUUGGUGUUACUGUUUGGGAAACUAGAAGUGUGGCCUUGCUGGAGGAAGGCUUUGAGGGUUUAAAGGCUCACACUAUUUAAAGUUGUCUUUCUGUUUCCUACUUGCAGUUUUAGAUACAUGUUAUCAACUGUUCUAGUCACCAUGCCUGCAUGCUGCAAUGCCUCCCAGACAUGAUGGACCCUUAUCCUUCUAGAACAGUAAACCCAAGUAAUUGCUCCCUUCUCCAAGUUGCUUCUGCUCAUGGUGUUUUAUCAAAGCAAUAGAAAUGUAACUACUACGGAAUAAGAAAGGCCUAGUUGAUUCUCUGUUUUGAAGGUUUCAGUCCAUGUCAGUCAGCCCCGCUGCUUUUGGCCUGUGCAAAGACAGAAUAGCAUGUUGUAAACACAUGGUGGAGGCACCCCUCUCACUUCAUGUCUGGGGAAUGAGAGAAAAACGUUGAGUCUCAACUUUGGAUUUUGGACUUUUAAACAGUGUGUGACUGUGAAAGACUAUGGGGACUUUCGAAUGCAUUUUUCAUUAUGAUGUGGCUGCAAGCAUAUGGGGAACAAGGAGUGAAAUGUGGUGGACUGGACUUAUCCUAAUGGUUCCAAGCAGAGCUUUGCUUUCUGUGUCACAGAACUUGUCAAAACAGCAAAAGCUCCAAAAUUUUUAUUAAAAGGCUGAAUUUCUGAUUCCCUAUGUGAAUUGAUGAAGCUUACCACACUGGGUGGCCAGUAAUUUCUGCCCUUUGUCUUAUUCAAAAGCUUUUAAAAAUGAAAAAAAAUGUAAUGAGUUUUUUUUUGAAGAAAGGAGAAAAGAAGAAAUAGAAUCCAGAAUCCCUAGCUAAGAAUUUCAAAACUAAUUUCUUAGAAUUCAAAGCAAUGAGCUCAGUCAGCUUAGCUAAUAGAGAAUGCUAUAGAAUUGGUACACCUGCUUCUCCAGGACAUUUAGUGUUACAGUAUUUCCAGGGAUUGGUUGGGGUACUGGAGAAAAUCAGGUUACUCCCAAAUGCAUGGCGUGCAUAAAAACACUCCCCUCAGAAAUAAACACAUCACAGAAUCAGGACAUGUAUAUAAUACAAAUUAAAAACAUAAGUUAUCAUUUUAAAGUAUCCAAUUUUAUGCUAACAUUAAAUGCUGAUAAGAGGUGAAUGGGAUGGACACUUUCUACAUACUGUUCUCUAGAUAGUUCUGCUAAGAAUUUUGACACUGGGGUGAGGAGGAGGGGAGGGAGAGGGAUAAGGGAUUGACAUGUGAAACAAGCUUGUUCCCUAACUAGAACUAAUAAAAAAAAAGAAUUUUGACACUGUGUACAAAAGAUGUUCAGACAUGGUGUUUCAUUAAUCCUAAUUCUAUAAAGCAAUGUAAGAUGUACCCUAAAGACUUAGGAAUAAUGAUGUUCAAUGUAAUUAUUAUAAUAUUAUGGAAAACAAACUGGAAGUUUUAAUAUCCAGUAAGAGAUCUAAAUAAAUAGAAUUUAAUCCAAAUAAUCUAAAUAGAAUUUGUCUGUUCAUUAAGCAAAUGAGACUCAAAGCAGAUCCCAGGGAUUCACAAUUGAAACCUGAAUCUUCCCAGAAUGUGUCAGAGCCUGUGAUCUUGGAGCAGGGAAGAAUGAGGAAGCCGGUGAGGAAGGUCUAAAAGCAUAGAUACAUCUGUUCAACUAUGUUCAUAGCAGCAUUAUUUGUAAUAGCCAGAACCUGGAAGCAACCUAGAUGCCCCUCAACUGAAGAAUGGAUAGAAAAAAUGUGGUACUUUUACACAAUGGAGUACUACUCAGCCAGAAAAAAACAAAACAAACAAACAAACAAACAAAACAAUGGAAUCUUGAAAUUCGAAGGCAAAUGUAAGAAACCAUUCUGAGCGAGGUAACCCAGUCCCCAAAAGGCAAACAGGGUAUGUACUCACUCAUAUAUGAAUUUUAUACAUAGCGCAAAGGAUUACCAGCCCACAAUCCACACUGCCAGAGAAGCUAGGAAACAAGGAGGACUCUAAGAGAGACAUACAUGGUCCCCCAGAGAAGGAGAAAGGGACAAGAUCUCCUGAGCAAACUGGGAGCAGGAGGGGAAAUUGAGCCAGGAGAAUGAGAAGGGGAGAAGAGGAGAAGAGGAGGUGUGAGGAGGACAUGAGGGAGCAGGAAGUUUGAGUUGGGGGAAGAAUAGAGGAAAACAAGAAAAGAGAUACCAUAAUACAGGGAGCUAUUAUAGGUUUAAAGAGGAAAUCAGGCACAAUGGAAAUGUCUGGAGAUCUACAACGAUGACACCAACUAACAAUCUAAGCAACAGAGGAAAGGCUACCUUAAAUGCUCUCCCCUGAUAAUGAGAUUAUGACCGACUUUAUGCUAUCCUAUAGCCUUUACCCAGCAGCUGGUGGAAAUGGAAGCAGACACCCACAGCUAAACACUGAACUGAACUGGAGAGAAGGAGGAGUGAUGAGCGAAGGGGUCAAGACCAGGCUGGAGAAACCCACAGAAACAGCUGACCUGAACAAGGAAGAGCUCUUGGUCCCCAGACUGAUAGCUGGGGAACCAUCAUGGGACUGAUCCAGACCCCAUGAAUGUGGGAGUCAGUGAGGAGACCUUGGGAAUCUAUGGGGCUUUUUUUGUAGUAGAUAAGUACUUAUCCCUAGCAUAGGAAUAGACUUUGGGAGCCCAUUCCACAUAGAGGGAUACUUCUGGAGUCUAGACACAAGGGGGUGGGCCUAGGCCCUAUCCCAAAGGAUGUGACAGACACUAAAGACCUCCUAUGGAAGACCUCACUCUCCCUGGGGAGCAGAAGGAGUAUGGGAUAGGUAGGGGGCAGGGGAAGAGGGGAGGCAGAGGGAACUAUAAAAUAAAUAAAAAUGGAGAGAAAGAAAAAAUAAAGCAUGGAUAUCUGAGGAAGUUCUAAACCAUGGAUACCUACCCAGUUAGAGUCACCACUGCUACCGACAUGGGAAUCUAUGCUCUCAGACACAUGCUGGCACCAAUGGCUUGAUGUGUUCCAUCGAUCUGAAAGAAAACCGGACAGUAUUCAGAUGUGAUCCCAUGUCAGUGGCCGAAUCAACAGUACUAUGAAAUGAAUGAUGACUCUAGCCAAGGCCUGCCUCUAGACUGAGCUCACUGACUCAGAGAAAUGGGGUUCUUGGAUAAACAAAAAGGGAAGCACUGGGCUUUAGUUCUGUAUCUAUGACUUAUUCCUAAAAUGUAAAGGUGUUUGAAGUCCCACCUGAAGUUGGGAGGCAAAUCAAAUCAAAGAGAUAUGUCGGUGGAUGGAUGCUUAUAGAAUGAUGCAAGCGAAAAACGUAGAAGUAUCUUUCCUUUCUCUCUGGGUGGUGAGAUUUUACAUGAGCCUAAAUUUCUUCUCAAUAAUUCUUCUUGUUUAAACAUUCUCUUGGCAUUUAUUAUUAAGAAUCAUCCUUCCAGAGUUGGAUAGUCUCUCCCAUUAACUACAUUUAACUUCCAAAAGAGCCAUAUGGUAGACACUUGGAUUUUAAUCUUACCUAAGCUUUAUAAAGUUCCUGGGGCUUGGAAUAUAUUUCUAGCUUGGGAAAGCUUUAAAACUCCCCUUAAGUCAUACCUCAUAGGCAGACAGAUACCCAUCCACUCUAAUUCCCAAGAAGCUCGCUGAUGGACCUGUUUUGUGUCAGGAGAGCAUUUAAAGUGGGGAUGAACUGUUUAAAUAUUUCCACAGAUGGCACUGAGUCACAUUCACACCCAAAGCUGGUUUUCUCCAAGUUCUUGAGGAACUAGUCUGGACAACAAGAAAGGCAAGUGGUUUUUGAUUUGAGAGGUUCAACUUUCACUGGCCACAGGACUGGGGCUCCUACUAGUCUGGGCCUGCUGCUUGGCUCUCAGCACCAUCUCUUGGAUUUAUCCCUUCCACACCUUAGAGGAUGGAAAUUUGUGGCUACUAUUAAAUUCUGCAGAGCUUUGAAAAAAGAAUGAAAAGGGGAUGAAGGAAAUGUGAAAUGUUUCUAUUCAGCCUUGGAAACAAUCUGUAGAAUAUUCUAGAACGAAAUUGCCAUUCCUGGGAGGCUUACAAGCUUUUUAUGGAGGCAAGAAGAGAUUUGAUAUAUAUUAAGUAUUUAAUAGACCAUCUCCAAAAUGUUUCUUUUAAAGGGACAUUGUAACUUUUUAUCACUUGAAUGAUGAGCAUCAUAAAGUCUUAAUAGAGGCUGAACUGCCAGAAUGGAAGCCCUUGUUCUCAUCAGCAGAGAAAAUGUGACAGAUUGGAACACGAAAUUUAGUGUGACAAUUCUUGAACUCCCCCAGCCCUGGAAAAUAAUUGGAGAGCCAUACCACAGAUUUUCUUUCCCAGAGUUAAGAACCACUCGUAAUGAUUUCUAAAAAGAGUCUGUCUUUGCAAUCUGUGUUCUAAGUUACACAGAAUAAGGAAAUCCAUUUUAUUUUACUGAAGCUGAUUGUUUAAGUUACGGGUUCACAGGACAGUGUUGCUAUUACAAGGGACUUUAAAAAGAAUUAUUAAAAAUUGAAACUUCAGAAAUUUUGAAAGUAUUUCUUUGCACUCCUUAAGUUUAUGGCCUUGUAAAAGCCAUGGUGCUUUACACUGAGCUCAACGCUAGAGUGUGUUUGAUUCAUUCACUGUGAGAAGAAACAGUUUUGUGGAUAAUUCAAGUUCCCAACUUUUUCUCACCCAAGUACAAAUACUGCAUCAUUUUACAGCCAUAGCAUGGUUUAAAUGUCUUCGUGCUCCAUUUUCUCAUGUGCAGUUCAUCUUAAUGAGUAUUAAUGGUGUAAAGUUGAAAGGAUACACUUGUUCUGUGAAAGCUUUAACUUGUGUCUGAGUGUUAUUUGGUAGUAGAAAGGUCCCGAGAUUCUGUAGAGAAAUCAGAGGGAAGAGGGGACAUCCAGUGGCUCAGUGGCACUGGAGGGGCCCACAGGGAGGUCUGGGCUGUGCCUCUGGUGUCAACACUGACUCACUGUGGGCCAGGCUGCUUGCCUGGGCCCCAGCUGAGAUCUUUGCAAAUGGACCUGAAAUUUUGUUUGACCCAAAGUUGUUGGUUUCAUAGUUUAAAGAAACUGUCCCACCUCAUGUCACAAGAUUAAAAUAUCUUCAAUAGAAAACUUAAGAAACACAGCAAAGAGACAAAAAGAAAAAAAUUCCUCAUAAUUUAACUAUGAGGCAAUAGACUCUGGUUAUAGCUUGUUAGACCUUUCUUUGGCAGGUACACAGCCAGGGUUUUGAUGUGAGAAUAGUAAGUGGAAAUGGGGCUUCCUAAGGCCAUUAGGGAGUAUCUCUUAGGUGCCUUUUGAUUGAAGAGAUUGGUUCUCUUUUGCCAUUCUUCUUUCUUCAUGUGAUGACAUAGUCAGAGGCCAUUACUAGAUGCCAGGUCAUGAACUUGAAUUUUUCCACUUACAGAAUUUUAAGAAAUACAUAUCUGUAGGUGGGGUUUUCUAUUGGGACUGCCAGCUUCCCAAAUAACCACACAGAGACUUAUUAUUAAUUAUAAAUGCUCCGUUGGUAGCUUAGGCUUGUUACUAACUAGCUCUUAUAUCUUAAAUUAACCCAUAUUUCUUAUCUACACUCUACCAAGUGGUGGUACCUUUUUCAAUGUGGCAUGUUCAUCUGGCUGGUGACUCAACCUUCUCCUUCCUCAUGCUCUCUUUUUGUCUGCAAUUCCUGCCUAAAAUAUAUUGGCCACUUUAUUAAACCAAUGCAAGUGACAAAUUUUCACAGUGUAAAACAGGAUUAUUUCACAGCACAUUUCUCUUCUCUGAAAGCUACAGUCUCAGAUAUUAUGUUUAUGGCAUCAGAAAAUGGAUCAACACACAACAUAUAAAAGUAUAUAAAAACAUAUACUUUUCUUUACAUUGCCAAUAGCAACAUAUCAUUUAUGUUGUUAUUAUUAAUGUUUAAUGCCUUUCCAUGCCAACUGAUAUUUUCUAUGUAACUACCGUAUAAUCAUCACAGUAUGACUAUAGGGUAGUGCACAGGUUUCUGUGAUCUCCAUGGCUGGCAGAGUGACAAUCCUCAGGAAGCAAGAGUAGUUCCAUUCAACACUACUAAGUAGACAGUGUUGAUUCAAACUUUGGGAGUCUGACCUUGAGUGGUUUAUUUUAGACAUUUUUAAGCACAGCACAAUUUAAUGGAAACUUUUCUGGUGAUAAUUAGCUCAGUCCUGUAUGCACAAUAAACCAUACAUAAAUCUCCUUGAGAAACAAAGUAGGCUAAAUAAAGAUUGGAUGUGGCCAUAUCGAAACUCUUUAUAAAGUAUGUUACACCUUCUAUAGAUUGACAGAAAAACGAAUUUGUAGCAUGGAGCUGGGAAAAGAUUCUUUGUGGUCUCUGGCCACAUGGACAGUGCAAAGGUCACUAGCCUAGAAUGCAUGUCCACUUCCAGCCUUGAGAAGAUAAUAGGUAAUGACCUUGUGUGCUAACAUUCCAGGGUCCCCUACUGUUUGUCUGUAAACACAAGGACCUCCAUACCUCCUACAAGUCAGUAUCUGUAUUUCAUUGUACAUGUGUUCCAUAAUUUAUUAUAUGCCCAUUGGUGGAAUUUAUCUUGUUCUAAUGUUUUUCAAUUAUAUAUAAUAACAAAAUGGGAAACCUAAAAAAAUUCUCACAGGUAACCACUCAAUCAUUUAACAUGGAAAGACAAUUGUAAAGACUAUUGAUUCUCAGCUAGUGCACACAUGAAAUACAUCUUUCUGUGCUUGAAAUAGCAAUGAUACCCUCAAAGGCAGGAAGAUCUUGUGAUGUUUACAUUUGAAAAUGCUCAAGAGACUACAGCGUUGAUUAUGAUGGUUACAAAUGAGAAAUCCAGCUGGUUUUUCAAUCAUAACAGAACAGUAACAUAACAGAAUCAUAAUGAUCUUUAAAUAGAAGGUUUGGGCACCUCUUGCACAAUGCCUGGCAGUGUAGCCAUUCUGCCUGGGCUAAUUUGUAAUCAUAUCACUUCUUAGUGCCAGCCUGAGGCCACACAUACUUCUAUAGAAGCUUACUGGCCUAGAAAGGGGCCCUGGCUUUGGAAUCAGCUUUCUAUUCUCUUCUUGCUUCUCUGGCCUGUGGAAAGAAAACUAACAUAGGGCUGUGGCAACAAAUAUGAACACAACUUAUGAAAGUGAGUUAUGAUUUCUAAAACAUCACAUGAAUAUAAUUCAUCCCCAUCACUAUUCUCACUGUAAUAAAAUACUAGUACUUCAAAUGCUGCACAUGUGUUUAGUUAAAUACUGUAAGUGCCCUUUGUCAUGGAGCAUAUAGGAAGUAUUACAUUAUCUUCUCAGUGAGCCUCUGAUUCAACCUGUGCUAUGAGGCAGCUUGUCCUCUGGGUCCAUUUGUCUUGUGCUUGUCAUACAGUUGGUGUUCUAUCCAGAGUGAAGAGACCGUGAUUGGGAGAUGUGCAAGCAUGAAGACCUGAAUUCAGAUUCUCAGCAACCAUGUAAAAAUUGGGUGCAGGGACCUGCUCCUGUAAGCCCAGAGGUAAGGAGGAGGCAAAGAUAGGCAGACCUCCACAGCUUGCUAGUUAGUCCGUCUAGAACAAAUCUGCAAAUUUCAAGUUCAGUAGGAGAUGUAUAUAUGUGAGGGUAUGUGUGUGUGUGUGUGUGUGUGUGUGUGUGUGUGUGUGUGUCUGUGUGUGGUGCAAGUAUGAAUGUGUAUGCAUAUAUUUGAUGUUGAUGUGUGAAUGUGAUUUGGUGUGCAUGUGUAUAAUAUGCAUGUGUAAAUCAUAUGUGUGUGGUGCAUGUGUAAUGUGCAUGUGUGAGUGUAUGUGUGUGAUAUUAAUGCCUGGAUGUGUGUAUGUGUGUGAUGCUGACAUGAAAUGUUGAUGUGUGAAUGUAUGUGUGUGUGUGGUGUACAUGUGUAAUUAUGUGUGUGAUGUUGGUGUGUGUGUGUGUGUGUGUGUAUGUGUGUGUGUGUUGUGCAUGUGUGAGCAUGAGCAUGGGAAUAUAGGGGCCAGAAUUGCAAGAGUCAGCUUUCCCCUUUCAUGUGGAUUCUUGGGAUUGAACUGAAGUCAUAAGGUGCACAUGGCAAUUGUUUUUACCUUGUAAAAGCUGCUUUUAAUGCUAAAUUCAAAUCUGUUUCUUGACAGUCUUUAGGAAAUCCAGACCACAGUUUCUGCCUCUUCCCUCUUCCUCACUUAGGCUUCACCAUUCCUCAGCCUGUAGUAAUGGGCACUAACGCCUACUUAAAAAGGUACAAUGGCAAUUACAUAAUUUAAUGCAACCUUGUCAAGUUGGAGGAAGUGAAUUCAAAUCAAUGUGGCUGAAGAACUUAGGUCUUUCUGCUGCGCGUAAUUACCAUCAGGGUGUUAUGAUCCAAGUAAACUCCACCUAGCUUUCAUCACUGGGACAAAUGCCAAAGGGAAGCAGCUUGAAAGAAGAGUUUAUCAUGGCUCACAGUCUCAGAGGUUUCAGGUCAUAGUCACUUGACUCUGUUGCUUUGGAUCUGUGGCAGCACAGUGCGACAUGGUAUGUGUGCAUUCCAGAAGGGGCACAUUCACUUGAUGGUAUCAAGAAGCAAAGACAGAGAGAGGAAGGUACUGGGCUCAUGUGCUCUACAACCUACCUUUCUUCCACUGGGCCCAGCUCUUGAGGGUUUGACCACCUCCACAGGCUGGUUACAAAAUCUCUGAGGCUAGAAGUGUUAACACUUGAGCAUUUAGGUGACACUUCUGAACCACAGAAAAGUCCCCUUUUUCUAGUCCACACAAAUAUCAUAGUAAUCUCAAUAUUAAUAUUGUCACCAGCGUGCUCUAGCCAUCCUAUUUUUGCUAAUAAGUUUCAGUAUCUUGAGAAAUUUCAUGUCCCUUCCCACUGCCCAGUUAGUCUGCAGUGCCUAACCUCCUCUGCAAGUGAGCUUAGUGUCUGUUGUGACUGCGGCCUCCAGGAUUCCGCUCUUGAUCCUCGCUGCUCUUUGCCAGACUGAGCUGCCCUCCUGAUCUAACCAUUGUUUCUAUUUGUCUUUGAAAUUUAGCUACUUUAGUUUGAAAUUACUUAGAUAAUGAAAUUUACUGAUUAAUAAUAAAAACUUUCGUUUUUAGACAAUUAAAAUCAGAAAAUUCUUUCAUUUAUUUAUCUGAAAUACAUGUUCCUCUCUUUCUUAUAGAUAUUUCCCCCUCUGUCAUUAGGAACAAUUUACACUAUAUUUCCUUUUUUUCUGCAGCAUAUAAUGUAUGUUGGCUCUAUCUCCCCUUCUCUCCUUUUUCUUCUUCCCUCCCUCCUUGCUUCCCUCCCGUCUUCCUCUUCUUCCUUCUAUUUCCAGUGGGAUGAGAUGAGAUUAUAUGAUCAGUGUCUUAGUGAGGGUUUCUAACCCUGUGAGGAGACACCAUGAUCACGGCAACUCUUAUAAAGGGAAACAUUUAAUGAGGCAGCUUGCAGUUUCAGAGGUUUAGUCUGGUAUUAUCGUGGUGGGACACGGCAGCAUGCAGGCAGACAUGGAGAAGUAGGUAAGUGUCCUACAUCUUCACUUACAGGCAGUAGGAAGUGGUCUGGGAUUCUGGGUGUGGUUUGUGCAUAUAUGAGACCUGAAAGCCUGCCUCCACAGUGACACUCUUCUGCAAACAAGACCACACCUACUCUAACAAGAUCACAACUCUAUGGGCCAAGCAUUCAAACACAUGAAUCUGUGGAGUUAUUCCUAUUUAAACCUCCACAAUCAGGCCAUGAGGGUGGGGUUCUCAUGAGUGAGAUGAGUGCCAUUAUAGGAAGAGACUCCUGUCCUGCGCUAACCGUCUCGCCAGCAAAAACGACGCGGCACACUCCUCAGGAUCCUUCUGCAGUAAAGCUUUAAUGCAUCUUGAGAGAGAGAGCAUAAGCUUACAGAGCAGAGACUCUGAACACCCAAAACCCCUCCCUUAUAUAGGCUGGCAACCGCCGCCUCAGAAGUGUGACUCUCUGACUGGCUGAAGCUCGUCGGACCAUAUGACGUCAGCUGAUUGGACCAUAUGACGUCACGGGAGGGGCGGAGACUAAGGGCUGGAAAGUUACAAAGUUACCUAGUGCGCAUGCGCACUAGCUUGUAACCGCUCCUUACAGACUCCAAAGGGACUUUUUGCCUUUUCUGCAAUUUGAGGACACCAGGAAUAUCUUAGUAUGAAGAUGGAAGCAGUUCUUCACUGGAUGACAACGUUACUGAUACCUGAGUCUGACAACUUUACUGAUACCCAAGUCUUGAACUACCAAGUUACCAGGACUGUGAGGAAUAAGUACUGCUAAGCUGCCUGGUCAGUGGAUAUAGCAGCCACAUCACACAUUAAUGAUAAUAAUCCCUAUUAAAAUAGCCCACCUUGCAUUUGACCAUGACCUGCCUGAGGUUGACUACAUGGUGAUUGAGGAGGAGGAAGAGCUGGAAGGGAUCUUUAGGAGGGUCAGGCUAAUUAGGGCAAUGAAAAUGUUUGGUAGACUUCUAUAAAAGGACAGUCAAGCAACUAGUGUAACAUAAAAUAAUAACAAAAUCCCUCAGAAACAGGCAAGACCUAAAAGCUUCCCAUGGAAGAGGCAACUUGUCAAGGAAAAUAUUAGAGGAAAAAUACAUUUCUAAAAGAAAUUUGUCAGUAGAUGAAGGAAGUCUCUUUGGCAAAUAUGUUGCUCUGCAACUACAGAAAGUUCCCCAGUAAGGCUUACGUUUGGCCAUGCUUUUCUUUCUGAGGUUUUAUAUGGUUCGAAGUAUUUAAAUUGUCACAGAAUACUGUCUGGUGUCCUGUGUCUCUGGUAGAGAUAGUCUUAGGCCUAUUAGUCCCUUGCUGUAGCUUGGAUGCUUAAGGCCAUCUCUCCUGAGUAGGCACAGCAGAAAGCUACUUGGUUUCCAUGUCUGCGGCCAUCUCAGUCCUGGCCUCCCUGUCACAGCUAUUUGGCUUUCUGUGUCAUGAACUCCCUGAGCUCACCGGCUCAGGGAAAAUAAAACACCGAGCUAUUUUUGAGGACUGGCAGACUUGAGGAGGCUCACAAAAGUGAAACCUUUUAGUUAAUGCACCCCUAUCUGCCCCGCUCCCUUCUGCUUGCCUUCUCUUUAAAACAGGGUGGGAGUCCUGUUUAAAGUUAAUCUUAACAGCAUACUUUGCCCUGGGUGGUGAGAUCAUAAACUCAGCUGAAGGAACUGACUUGACUCUGGGUUUCUCAGCAAAACUUACUCAAAAUGUUCAUUGUUCCAUCCUAGAGGGUUGAAUAUGCAAAUCAGCAUUCCUGGCAAUGUUCAACUCUAACACUAGGUCUUUUUUGGCAAGCUUGUCAGUGACCAAAGUUAGGUUAAAAUUCAUCCUGGGAGAGAGUGUUGCAAUCCCAGACCACCAAAUGUGGUUUAAUUAAAAAAGGACAGCACAUAUUUCUCACAGUUCUGGACAUCGGGGUAUGUAGGACAAGAUGAAAACACCUAGCUGGGUUCCUUCAUGAAGGAAAAGCAAUGAGUAAACAAGAGCAAGCAAAUGAGAAAGGGCUGAAACCUAUUUUUACAAUUUUUAUGGUGUGUGUGUGUGUGUGUGUGUGUGUGUGUGUGUGUGUGUGUGUGUGUAUUCUAGUGUUAAUGUAAGGGUGCCAUCAUGUGAGUGUGAAGAUCAAAUCACACCUGUGGGUACCAGUCUUUGCUUUCCAUCUUGCUUGAGGCAAGGGUCCCCUGUUGUGUUUCCUCCUUGAACCCCAAGAGCUUCUUGGGAUUUACCUGUCUUUACUUUCCAUCUUCUGCAGGAGCUCCAUGUUUGCAGAUGCCUGCUCUACAGGUGUGGGGUUUAUGUGGGUUGGGGGAAUUCAAACUCACAUCCUCAUGAUUGUAGAGGAAGCAUUUUUACCCACUGAGAUUUUCCAAAACCUAAGGUGGUUUUUAAUAAGCACAUUCAUAUCAUUAACCUAUCCCAUGAUAAUGACAAUAACUUGUUCUGUUCAUCCAUUCUGCUCUCUACAUGGGACCUACUCUCCUCUUAACGGUGCCACUUCCAAUGGCAUUGCAUUGGAGAAUAUGUUUCUGACAGCUGAUCUUUGGAGAAUACAUUGAAACCAUGGCAAGUAUGAGAGAGAAACCUUUUGAAAAUAGUGCAACUGGGAGAAGGCAAUCAAGACAGAGCUAUGGAGACUUUGGAGGUGUGUGGGCAGAACCCAGGCUGACUUAUUGAAAGGGAUAAGUUACGGGGAGGUCCUGGAAUAGAAGUGUAGCUGCCCAGCAGGCUGAAUCCAACUGGCUGAAUUAUCUCCAUGAUAUAGCAGGAGGAAAACCCCUUUCUCCAAUCCCAGGUCACAUGAAACAAGCAGUGCAGAUCCUUGAUGUGCUGCACCGUGGCAGGAGAAGACUAGGAUGAGAGGAUGAAAGCUAGGAGAUGUUCUAGACAGCCAGCCCAUAAUUUAGGGAAAACAUGGAAAGAAGGAAGCUCCUCUCAGGUCAUGACAGUUUUAUCCUAAUUUGCAAAGCAAACUUGAUUUUCAGUUCUAAAGAUCCCUCAACACUGAAGACGGGACAGGGUGGUCAGAGGACAGGAUCCCCAAGUGCAGCUCACGGAUAUGCUUUUUACCCUCCCUUGGAGACUUUCUUAAAGAACAGAUCACAAGUCCCAGCCCAGAAACCCCAAAGGAAACAUUCAAUCAUCUGGGACAAAGGGUAAAUUAGAAGAGGAGGUUGAACCCGAUGGAAUCAGUCUGGAGACUCCUUCCACAGGUGAUUGAAGGAUAGAAGUAGCUGGGAACAAGCAGAUCCAGUGCAGCUGCAGGAACAGAGCUGCUGCAUAACUGGAUUUACGGUCCUGGAACAGGGGGAAUGUUCCUCUAGCACUUAGUGCUGUGUUUAAAGACAAGAGAGCUUGUUUGCUUUCUCUAUUCCAUUAAAAGUUUAGUGUGCACUUUGCUCUUUUAAUGAAGCAAAAGGGCAAGAACAUACUUCUCUUUCCUUCAGUAUUUAUGACCAGAAGGAAUCUCUCAGACAGCUCAUCUAGGUCUAGAAGAAACACAGACUCUUCUUCUGCCUAACUUAAUAGCAAUGGAUACGGGGGUUAAAUCCAUGUCAUUGGUCUGGUGUGAGCCUAGACUUUGAAACAGUGUGAUCAUAGUCAAUGCACCAUACUAAGAGCUCUGAGCUUACAUAGGGGGAAUUCUGAAUUAUCCAAAGGAAAGCAACAGGCACUGGAACCUGAGUUACUUCCUCCCUUGUUGCUUCUGGGUGCAUCUCAAAAAUGAUAAACAGAAAUGAAGGAACAAACACAAAAAUAAUUUAAAAUUUUUCAAUCCAUGACCCUUUUGCAAUUGAUAUUGUAUAUGUCAAUUUCUUUAUUCCAUAGAAGAUGUUAAGGCAAUAUAUGGACAAUAAAACAGAAAAAUGUUUAACAUCAUCAGUGACUAUAUGAACAUGAAAGUGUCAUUACAUACCACUUUACACCCUUUAAAACAGAUGAGGUAGAAAAGACAGUAGCAAACAUUAUCAGAAUAUAUAGAUAUACUAAAAUCAUUGUAAGUUUGAUGAUAGGAAUAUAACAUGCUAUUUGGAAAUCAUUUGUCAGUUACUCAUAGUGUUAAAAGGAAUUAUCAUGUGACCUACUGAUUUUACUACUAGUUAUAUGCCAAAGAGAAAUAAAAAAUCCAUCUCCAUAUACUUGUGUAUAUGAGCAAUUUACAGCAGCAUUUGCAAUAAUACUGUGAAGUUGAAGCCCACUCUAAGGUGAUUAAGAGAUAAACAAAAGUUGUUUGUCCUUUCAGUGCUAUAUUACCCUGAAAUGAAAAGGACGGAAGCACCAGCAAAUGUAUGACAUGGAUGAAUCUUGAAUACCCACACAUUGCUCAAUUUGAUUACUAAGAAAUAUCUAGAAUAUAAAAAUCUAUGUCUAGAGGAAGUCCACUUGUGGUUGACUAGGAUGAUUUAAUUGGGAAGUCAAGCAGAACAUGGGUGUAACUAUUGGUGCUAAUGAGCCUGAGGUUUCCUUUUGGGCGAUAAAAAAAUGUGAAAUUUCAAUGAUAGUGACAGCUGUACAUAUCUGUGAAUAAGAUAGCUCAAAAUAAGAUCAUGACAAAAGGAAAAAGAUGGAAAAACCAGGACCUUCCAUCUCUUGCCCAUUUCCUAAUACCCUGCACAUGAGAGAGGUUACUCAGAGCAAUGGCAACCAGAUCCUAAAACUACCAGAUGUCAAAUGGCUAAGUCAUUUUCUAUUAAUGAUAAACACAUGGUUAUGGUUUUAAGUUUGGAAUUCUAAGCUCAACACAAGACAAUGUUUUAAUUUUUCUUCCUUUUUUUCUUUGUUGUUUGAUAGUAAGAUAAAUGACAUCUGUCAUAUAAAAUGGCAAAUAUUUAUGAUUACAAUUCCUAAAGCCAGGCUAAAAAAAUUAAAGAGGAUAAGGUUAGCUCCAUUAACCACCUGGUUCGGGUAUCUGAUAUAUGGUGUUCCUGAAUAAAGGAUGUCCUCUUUAUUUGUUGUCUAAAACAUUAAUUAGGUCUAACCAAUUGUGGGACUUUGCCAAUCCAAUGUAGGAAGGCAAAGACAGUUUUACAGUAUUUGUAGAUUACAUUUGGGGUCUGGAUCUGUGUAAAGGAGAUGAUUCAUUGCAUAUGUUUCAUUGAAGAACUUGCAUAAUAAUAACCCAGGAAUGAUAAUUACAAGCAUUUAAAUCACCUUCCAGAUUACUUUAUAAUCCACUGCUUUGAUAAAGGAACCCAACACCCACGUAAAGGGCAUGGUACCUGUGGCUAGAGAAAUCAUAGACCUUAGGGGACAGCCUAUAUUGAUAUGUUUUUCUAAGUGCCAUGUUGUCCAACCACCUUCUAAAUAGCUAUGUUUAUUUGUAUCCAUAAGUAUGUACUUCUCCCAACCUCAGAGACGCUUCUUAUUGCAUGAGUAAUAGUUACUCGGAGAUGUAGUGCUGUUCAAAGUGCUGAGAACAAGUGACUGAGUGGUCAGCCAUAGAAAAAAGAUCUACAUCAACCCCUCCCAGGAACAUGGAAGAAGAGAAGGCAGAAAGAAUGCAAUAGGUGGAGAAUGGGGGAGCACGUGCUGUGAAAUGCUGCCCUCUGGUCAUGACACAGCUAUUGCACACUUGAACUCACAGCAGUGGUGGCUUCUUAAACAAAACCUCCACAAGAUGGGGCCAGUUGGAAACUCCAGUUUAGAGGCAUAGGAGAAUACUACUGGAAACACCAGAGAAAGAGAAUUGUUUCUCAUUUGUAAUUUUGAAUGACAAGGGAGAGUCAGAUCUGGAAAUAAUAGAAACUGCAGAAAGGGUGGCCAGACUAUCACUAAACAAUUCUGUCAAGAAAUAAAUGCUACACACCAGACAUACCUGGGGUUUGGGAGAUCAGAUCAGAAAUAUUUUUUUUCUUUAUUUGGGAAAGGUUUGGGUAACAGUCAGAAACUCUAACUGAAUAAUGUAGGUUUCCAUAUUGGCACAUUUUUGACCAGGAAACUGUGUGUGUGUGUGUGUGUGUGUGUGUGUGUGUGUGUG
ensembl:lncRNA